rnacentral:lncRNA from 1 species
CUCCACCGGAGCCAGAAGGUAUGAGACGUUCCCCCCCUGUGGUGCCCCACAACUUGGGCCUGGGGGACUUGACCCUCAUGUCCCGAGGACUGGUCAUCGCCCCGCGCCCCUGGACCGCCCAGCACAUCAGCAUUACACACACACCUGGCUCUACACACUCAUAUACACACACACCUGUGGAAGGACAGGGAGCAGGGGAACCCAGAAAGACAGCACUGCAGUCAGACUCAGGUGAGUUCAUUCAUAUAUCAUUCUCAACUCAUAGCUUACUCAUAACUUAACAUGAUAAUGUACCGUAAGGGCAAAACCCUGGAAUAAAUCUAAACCAAACACACUAAACAGUGUCCCCCACACAGACUCCUAAUCACUUCCAUGUCCUUCUCCAGUCUCAUUGGUACAGUCAGCCCCAGAUGAGCAUCUGUCCCUGGGGGAGAUCAAGGCCCUGCUCCCCCGGAGGCUGGGGGAGAGGCUGGAGGAUGUGAGGGCAGCGUUCAAGGCCCUGGACCCUGAGAGGAGCGGCUCAGUGACCCGGGGGGAGUUCAGACAGGUGGUGGAGGCCUUCCUCUUCCCCCUCACACAGACCCAGCUCAAUGCCAUGCUGGCCAAGGUGUCUAAGAGAGACAGUGUAACGGUGGACUACAUGGACUUUCUCAGGAGGUACAGCAGGGUGACUACAGCACAGAGACCCUACAGCUCUACAGCACAGAGACCCUACAGCUCUACAGCACAGAGACCCUACAGCUCUACAGCACAGAGACCCUACAGCUCUACAGCCUCCUCUACAGCACAGAGACCCUACAGCUCUACAGCCUCCUCUACAUCACAGAGACCCUACAGCUCUACAGCCUCCUCUACAGCACAGAGACCAGACAGCUACCACAGGUGGGCACACCCUUACACUGUAACGCGCAUAGGUGAAAAUACUAUCUGUGUUACAUGACCCUAUGGUUGGUUUGGUUCAGCAGGUUGACCUCUCUCUCUCUCUCUCUCUCUCUGUUUGUCUGUAUGUCUGUCUUUCAGGUGUGUCUCUGGAUCAGACCAGAGGGGUAUGACCCUGACUGAGAUACAGCAACGCCUCAAACACAAGGUCUCGAUGACACACACGCACGCACGCACGCACGCACGCACACACGCACGCACACACACACACACACACACACACACACACACACACACACACACACACACACACACACACACACACACACACACACACACACACACACACACACACACACACACACAUAAAGACACUAAUGCACACUUUGUUGUUUCAACACAAGCCUGGAGAAGAUAGAUACCACU